rnacentral:rRNA from 1 species
UAAUGUAUGGGGAUCUGCCCGAUAGAGGGGGAUAACUACUGGAAACGGUGGCUAAUACCGCAUAAUGUCUACGGACCAAAGCAGGGGCUCUUCGGACCUUGCACUAUCGGAUGAACCCAUAUGGGAUUAGCUGGUAGGUGGGGUAAAGGCUCACCUAGGCGACGAUCUCUAGCUGGUCUGAGAGGAUGAUCAGCCACACUGGGACUGAGACACGGCCCAG